CAACUGGCUUUUUUCAAAGCCAUCCAAUAGAGGUACAAAAAGCUG
rfam:Amphimedon queenslandica AMPQTscaffold_9701_Cont18147, whole genome shotgun sequence.